rnacentral:rRNA from 1 species
GGAAUUGUUCACAAUGGGCGCAAGCCUGAUGACGCAACGCCGCGUGGGGGAUGAAGGUCUUCGGGUCGUAAACUCCUGUCGAGCGGGACGAACGCUUCGCGGAUGAAUAUUCCGCGGAAUUGACGGUACCGCUAAAGGAAGCCCCGGCUAACUACGUGCCAGCAGCCGCGGUAAUACGUAGGGACCAAGCGUUGUUCGGAUUUACUGGGCGUAAAGGGCGCGUAGGCGGCGUGUUAAGUCAGCUGUGAAAUCUCUGAGCUCAACUCAGAACGGCCAGCUGAUACUGAUGUGCUAGAGUGCAGAAGGGGCAAUCGGAAUUCUUGGUGUAGCGGUGAAAUGCGUAGAUAUCAAGAGGAACACCUGAGGUGAAGACGGGUUGCUGGGCUGACACUGACGCUGAGGCGCGAAAGCCAGGGGAGCAAAC